UUUUAUCUUUCUCUUUCUUCCUUGUUUAAUUUCUUUUCCUCUUCUCGAGUUCUAUGGCUUCUAUAGAGGAUUAUGAUGCGCUUUUCCCUACUGUUGAUGUAUCGUCUUUUCGAUCUAGAUUUUUUUAGCGGGUUGAUCGGGGGUCUGUAAAGGAUCUUCAUCGUGACUGGGGGCCUUCUAAGGAUAGGUUUUUAUUCUCUUUUAUUUCAAGCAUGACGGUAUUUCCUCUCGAUUGUUCGGUACCCAAUUUGAUACUUGGGUCACCAUGCUGAAAGAAUUUUCCACCGGGCCUAUUGGAAGGGCCUGCUUCGCCGCUGCGUACGUUUUAGCUUGGAGUUACCUUGCCAAGCUGAUUACUUUGCUGUUUGGGAUCAUCUCUUGAUUCCAAUCACUACAACUUCCGGUGGUUUUGACGCGUUGCUGGCAAUAGUGAGUCUUUUUCGAUGCAAAAGGGACUGGACGUGGAUUCGCGAGAAGAAACUUUAGUUAUGUGCUUUUUGUAUUUUCUCCUUCUGUUGUAUGUACAUGUAUACCUGCUUACUAUUUCAAGAUUAUAGGUAAUGAUGUAUCAUGUAUGCCAGCUUACUAUUUCAAGAUUCAAGAAAUUUGCAA